rnacentral:rRNA from 1 species
AUGGGGACAACAGUUGGAAACGACUGCUAAUACCCAAUAAGCCGAGAGGUAAAAGAUUUAUCGCUCGAAGAGGGGCUCGCGUCCGAUUAGCUAGUUGGUGGGGUAAGAGCUUACCAAGGCAGCGAUCGGUAGCUGGUCUGAGAGGACGAGCAGCCACACUGGGACUGAGACACGGCCCAGACUCCUACGGGAGGCAGCAGUGGGGAAUUUUCCGCAAUGGGCGAAAGCCUGACGGAGCAAUACCGCGUGAGGGAAGAAGGCUUUUGGGUUGUAAACCUCUUUUCUCAGGGAAGAAAAAAAUGACGGUACCUGAGGAAUAAGCAUCGGCUAACUCCGUGCCAGCAGCCGCGGUAAUACGGAGGAUGCAAGCGUUAUUCGGAAUUAUUGGGCGUAAAGCGUCCGCAGGUGGUACUUCAAGUCUGCUGUCAAAGACCGAAGCUCAACUUCGGGCAGGCAGUGGAAACUGAAGAACUAGAGUACGGUAGGGGUAGAGGGAAUUUCCAGUGUAGCGGUGAAAUGCGUAGAGAUUGGAAAGAACACCAGUGGCGAAGCGCUCUACUGGACCUGUACUGACACUCAGGGACGAAAGCUAGGGUAGCGAAAGGGAUUAGAUACCCCUGUAGUC